AUGAUCGCUCGCCACAUUGCAAAUCGGAUUUCUCGGUUUUCGCAGACCAGAAGCCUUAGGACUAUAUUUCCAAAGACUACAGUAUCCAUCGCUUCAAGACCCUUCUCCACAGACCCCGAUUCGUUAGUCGACAAGAUGGUGUCUUCCACGUUCUGUCACGUGGCAAAAUGUCAGCCGGACAGUUUUAGUGAGGAGGAAAAGAAUAGCAAGAAGCUGGAGCCACGGACCAUUUCUCACAGUUAUCGGAAGUUUGUCAUCCCGCUCAGCACGGACACCAACAAGCAGAAGCAGUACCUGAGCGCCGCAAGAAGUGUUCGUCUUGGCAAAAUUCUGGAAGACCUGGACCACAUGGCCGUCCACGUGGCAUACGUGCACAAUUCGGACAACGGGACCCUCGACGAGCCAAUGACACUGCCCAGAACAAUUGUGACGGCGUCGGUGAAGCGUAUCGAUUUUCAUGACAUCGAAAUGCACCCAUCCCGUGACGUUAUCAUUGAUGGGCAAGUGACCUAUGCUGGAACGAGCAGCAUGCAAGUCUGCCUCAGAUUGUUCCAGAAUGAUGAGAUUGGGAAUUUGAAUCAGCUGCUCAAAGCGGAAUUCAUUAUGGUCUCGCGGGAUCCUCUGGACGCUUCCAAGAAGGUGCGAGUUCACGGUUUGACAGCAAAAACUCCGGAUGAAGCCGAAACUAUUAACAAGACAAAGGAGCACUUUAGGCGGAUGGGCAGCUCGACGAACAAGCAGCCGACAAAUGAGGAGUUUCAAGUGAUUCACAACAUGUAUAGUGAGCUCGUUGGCAGAAGCAUGGUGCACGAUGUGGCGGUACUUUCAAACACUGAAAUGUGGAUGCACAAGACAAACCUCUCGGUCACUGAAAUCUGCUUCCCAGAAUACCAAAACAUGUACGGAAAGAUUUUCGGCGGUUUCUUGAUGCGAAAAGCCUUGGAGCUGGCUCACACGAACGCCAAGCUCUACUGCAAAGGUCGUGUUGCCAUCCGAUCCAUGGAUCAGAUUGAGUUCCAGAAGCCUGUGGAAAUUGGGCAUGUCCUGCACUUUGACUCAUUCGUCACAUACACCGAUGGAAAAUAUGUGCAGGUGAAGGUAGCGGCGACGAUUUCGGAUCAGCACAAGCUCCCCGAGCUCGCCAAGUUGAAUCAUCCGACGCUCGGUGAAGAGGUGAGGAGAAGCUUGAAGAGCUUAAAGACUCAAGUUUCCGAUUUGUAUGAUUUUGUAGGCUCGCGUCAACACAAAUGUGUUCAACUUCACGAUGGAAAGCGUCGAGAAUCCGAAUGUGCUCCGUGUGGUUCCAAAGCACUAUGUGCACACCACAAGCUACCUGGAAGGACGUCGGCUGCUGAACAAUACGCUGAAAAGAAUUGUGAAAUAAGCUUAUUCUCAAAACAUUGAACUUGUUUUGUUAAUAUUAGAGAACCAUGAAUGUAUCAUCAGAAAAAAGUUCUUGUUUUCUACUUUAGAGAACUCGAGGUAUUUCUAGAAAACCUGUUGUCUCUUCAAUAAAAACCGUAGGAUACGUACUAGU